UACGGGGGGGGCAAGCGUUGUUCGCAAUUACUGGGCGUAAAGGGCGCGUAGGCGGUUGGAUAAGUCAGCUGUGAAAACCACGGGCUUAACUCGUGGCCUGCAGUUGAGACUGUCUGGCUUGAGUGUGGGAGAGGAGAGUGGAAUUCCUGGUGUAGCGGUGAAAUGCGUAGAUAUCGGGGGGAACACCAGUGGCGAAGGCGGCUCUCUGGGGUGCACCUGACGCUGAUGCGCGAAAGCGUGGGGAGCGAACCGG
rnacentral:rRNA from 1 species